AACACAAGUGAUGUACUUUUUAGGUACUUAAUACUGAGAAAUGAUUUUCUACUAAUAUUUCAAAACACAAUUAGUGUGU